UACGUAGGGUGCGAGCGUUGUCCGGAAUUAUUGGGCGUAAAGAGCUCGUAGGCGGUUUGUCGCGUCGACUGUGAAAACCUGGGGCUUAACUCUGGGCCUGCAGUCGAUACGGGCAGACUUGAGUUCGGUAGGGGAGAUCGGAAUUCCUGGUGUAGCGGUGAAAUGCGCAGAUAUCAGGAGGAACACCGGUGGCGAAGGCGGAUCUCUGGGCCGAUACUGACGCUGAGGAGCGAAAGCGUGGGGAGCGAACAGG
rnacentral:rRNA from 1 species